AUUAAGUUGGCAGAUUAAUUGUAUCAAAUUUAGAAUUUGAAAAUGGCUUAUGCCACUUGAUG
rnacentral:tRNA from 1 species